rnacentral:rRNA from 1 species
AUUGAACGCUAGCGGGAUGCUUUACACAUGCAAGUCGAACGAGUGGCGGACGGGUGAGUAAUAUAUCGGAACGUGCCCAGUAUCGGGGGCUAACUACUCGAAAGAGUGGCUACUACCGCAUACUAUUGGAGCGGCCGUUAUCGGAUUAGCUAGUUGGUGGGGUAAAGGCUCACCAAGGCAACGAUCCGUACCCGGUCUGAGAGGAAGACCAGCCACACUGGGACUGAGACACGGCCCAGACUCCUACGGGAGGCAGCAGUGGGGAAUUUUGGACAAUGGGGGAAAGCCUGACCCAGCAAUCCCGCGUGUAUGAGAAGGUCUUCGGGUUGUAAAGCACUGUUGGCAGAGAAGCGGUAUCUGCAGAAUAAGCACCGGCUAACUACGUGCCAGCAGCCGCGGUAAUAC